rnacentral:rRNA from 1 species
GUAGGGAAUAUUGGGCAAUGGUCGGAAGACUGACCCAGCCAUGCCGCGUGCAGGAAGACGGCCCUCUGGGUUGUAAACUGCUUUUAUCUGGGAAGAAAAAGGCCAUGCGUGGCAAAUUGCCGGUACCAGAUGAAUAAGCACCGGCUAACUCCGUGCCAGCAGCCGCGGUAAUACGGAGGGUGCGAGCGUUGUCCGGAUUUAUUGGGUUUAAAGGGUGCGUAGGCUGCUGAUUUAGUCAGCGGUGACAGACUUCGGCUUAACCGGAGCAGUGCCGUUGAUACUGGUUGGCUUGAGUGUCGGAGGGGUACAUGGAAUUGAUGGUGUAGCGGUGAAAUGCAUAGAUACCAUCAGGAACACCGAUAGCGAAGGCAUUGUACUGGCCGACAACUGACGCUGAUGCACGAAAGUGUGGGGAUCGAACAGGAUUAGAUACCCGGGUAGUCC